GCCGGUUUAGCUUAGUGGUAGAGCGUUAGUCUUGUAAACUGAUGGUCGGCGGAUCAAUCCCGCCAUCCGCCC
rnacentral:tRNA from 1 species